UUGUUGCAGCAGUGAUAGUUCAGGUGUUUCAAAUAAGCAAUCACUUAUUUUUAUGCUCUUGCAGGGACAGGUUAUGGUGAUUGAACGGGAUUUUCUUUUUCUUUUUUUUUCUCCUACAGGAGCCUCAAGAACAAAGGCCAUCAGAGAGGCCGUUUGCUGGCAUGGAGCCCCCCAGGACUCAUCAACCAUGGUUGAGGUUGACUGAAAACAGAGCAAGAGAGGCCCCCGCCUGUCUCAGAUGAGACUGGUGUUUUUUGCAAAUGGAUUACUUAAAGGUGUCUUGAAGGGGUAUGAUACUGCGAUAUGCACCUUUCACUGCCUGGAAUCUUCCUGAGUUUUGUCUUGGUCGAGCUGCCUUCCAUGUACAGCCCCCUCUGAAGAUGUUGGAAAGGAGGAGAAGGAAGAGGAAAGCAGAGGGGAUCGCCCCGCAGAGGCCAGCCUGCAGCCUGGGCUCCAUGCACCUCUGGCUGCUAACGGGAUCCACCUCGGGUCAAGAAGACUGCCGUGCAGGUUACUUCAGGGAAGCUCUGUCCUGGUCAUCUCUGCCUGGCAUUUCCUGCAGGAUUUGGCAAGUACGGCGUUCCCUCUGCUUUGGGGCAUUCUGCGCUGGGUCUGUCUCCUGUUCUGUAAGUCUCACAAAUUCACCCUCUCGGAGCAGCCAUCUCUGCCUGUCCCACGCUAGGAGCUGUGGUGACCCCCACUCAUCUUGUUUCCUUUUGCUCAUGGCACUAGCUCUAAUGAAAAUGUUUCGUCCCCUGUUUGUUUCUAUUAGACCUGGUGGGAUGUGAGCCCCACCAGAGCCAGAUCUGGGCCUGUCUCCUUCCCUGCUGUAUAUUCAGUGCCUACGACAGGGUCUGGGUCAUAAAUGAAUGGAGAGGAGGAAGGGAGGGGAAAAAAGAUCGACUUCAGGAAGAUUUCAGAAGCACGGUGCUGAGAAUACCAGGGUCAUGUACCGGGGUGGGAUUUACUUCCUUUCCACACAUUUAAAAAAUCUCAAAGACAUACAUUCAGCUUUAUUGAGUUUAGGUGAAAUCUAUUCAUAAUAAAAAUAAAAUGAUAUCUCAAUGACAACUUAA